rnacentral:rRNA from 1 species
UACGUAGGGCGCAAGCGUUGUCCGGAAUUAUUGGGCGUAAAGAGCUCGUAGGCGGCUUGUCACGUCGGGUGUGAAAGCCCGGGGCUUAACCCCGGGUCUGCAUUCGAUACGGGCUAGCUAGAGUGUGGUAGGGGAGAUCGAAUUCCUGGUGUAGCGGUGAAAUGCGCAGAUAUCAGGAGGAACACCGGUGGCGAAGGCGGAUCUCUGGGCCUUACCUGACGCUGAGGCGCGAAAGCAUGGGGAGCGAACAGG